rnacentral:lncRNA from 1 species
CACUACCACCUAAAACUGCCAAUGAAAAUGAAGGUCCUGCGCAGUAAAAUAUUUAUACAACUGCUGGGGCCACUAGGCUUCAGCGGGUGUGGAGGCGGGGAGAGAGGAGGAGUAAAGGCUGUUUACAAACUUGACGUACACACGCAGUCCUAUCCCUACGGUCCUGGAAUUGGGGGUUACUAUCUUGGAAUCUAGGGGCACUCCAGGCUCUGGGCUCAGACGGCUGGCUUCUGCCUACCCGAGCCUUAACCUUUCAAGGACCAGAAGGAUUCCAGAGCUCUUGCCCUAGGUCCUGGGGCAGCGAUGACUCACUGCAGCACCCCCUCCCACUUCGCCAAGCUGCCGUCUCCGCCCACCCCCAAACAAUCUCGACAGCGCAUUUCGGGAGCCACGGCUCCGGGCGCUUUGCUGGGGGCUAAAGGGGUUUAUCCCUUUCCUUGAAUCCCAGCAGGCUAGAACUACCCCCUCCCAGUCUUCAGGCUUGCCACGCUCUCCACCCGAUCCUUCCAUUGAAAGGCAGAGAAGGAAGGAUGUGCUUGGGAACUUUAAGACCCACGAACGACAGCGCACUGAUGGAGCAGCCCAGUGUCUGGGGCAAAGUCCUCGAGGUUCAUUCAUUCAGGAAGCCUCUGACCAGCCUUUACCAUGCGCUGAGUGAGAAGCUGAGGAUAAGGAAAGAGCAAGACCCCCAAGAAACCCUGAUGUCUGGCUGAAAGCCGAAGCAUGACGCAACUUUGCUAUAUUUCUCUCCAACAAGGAUUUGUAUAUUUUCGCUUUCUCCUCAAGUAACACCUGGACCUGCUCCUUUCCCUUCAAACGCUGAGGGCUCAGUCUCCAAGUUCCUUUAUGAAACAGGGUGUACCAUCAGAGACGCAGGUAUUUAUUGAAACCUGCUUUGUGCUGGGCAAUGUGCCAGAUGUUGGGGAUAAAAUGGAGACUUCAGAAAUGAAGAUGCAAAGACAACAGGGGAAACCAUAUAUGUUUAUGGACAGUCAUGCCAAAGUAUGAUUGGAAGACAAAAAGCUAGACCCACCUAAAAGUGAAGUUACAUAUGUGGAUGUUUAUAUGAAGAAUAAAGGACACAAGAAAGGAUUCAAGAAAUGAAAAACGGUGGAGGAAGAUAAACAUUUCAAGAUUCAGAUCACGUUGCUGCCCGAAUUCAGAGUGUCUCUAAGGAAAUAGCUAGAAGGGGUUUUCAACUCUCAGCUUCCUUCCAAGGAAUAAAGAAUUUGCUGUGAGCAAAAAAACUUGCCAAGAAAAUGCCAAUUUGUGUCACACUAACAUCUUUCUUAAGGCUGAACGUGGACUUCGGAAAUGUGAACCUUUGGCUCUGGUGAACACAGUCAGCCUUGAGGGUUUGAAAUUAGGUUCUUCAGAAGGACGGAAGGAAAUCUGAGAGAUCAACUUAGACACCCACUAAUUAGAAAAUGCACCGACACCAGAGACUUGUUUGCAAUGAGUGGUGGGGUCAACCUUUCCAUGGCACCUGACGUGAACUUAGAAAAAUGGAAUCCCUGAAAACGUUUGGAAAUGAUUUUAUCGGAGACAGAGAGAGACAGCAACUGCUGGAGGGAGAAAGAGAGGACAAAAGGCAAACCAAAGUGAGAUGCUGUAAUCGAGAAGACUUGGCGAGAACAAAUGGAAGAACGUUUGAACUUGCUUGUUGCAGACAAAACAACCUUCAAAGGCUACCUUUUUCCUAUUUGAUGGGGUAAAAUUGCUUCCACCAAUGCAUUAUACAUAUUUAAAACUCUCUUUCUGCAUUUAUAAUCUUCAUAGAUGCAGCUUCCUCCAAACUUAGGUAAUGAAUGUAAGAUGAUGCUCCCUUGGGGGUUGUAAAGACAAUCUAAGAACAAGUCAUUUCGGAGUAACAAACUUCACAGCUGGGGAUACUUUCCAUUGCAUAAGGCACCUACCCCUAAAGCUUUCAUUGUUUCACUCUUAGGCAGUUAUGUCAUUAUUUCACUUACCUCAUUGGGGAAAUCAUUGUUUAACAACCAAAUAUAAAUGGGGAAAUAGUCUUCUACUUUAUCUUCUCUAGGAUAACAGCUUCCCUCCCCCACUUCCCUCCACAGAAGGAUUAGUCCCAAAUGGGUGAUGAAUUGCUCUAAACAGUCCAACAAUCCCAGAGAGAGAAAUGAGAAGAAAAAUAACUAGCUGAUUACCAAUAGGGAACAAAUUGGCCACUUGAGAAUUCAGUGGCUAGAAUGACAAAUGAGAAAAUGAAAAUCCUCAUCAAGGGACUAGACUUGCUGAUUAGUCCAAGUGCAGAUGACCACUUCCCAUGCCUCUCCUGCCCUGCUGUGCGAUGAUUUACAUCUGAUUGAACAUUAUUUUUUAUUUGGGACCGGAUUUCUAAAAGGGUGUUUGGAAAACUUUGAAGUACUUAAUUAUAACCAGGAGGCAUUUGGGGGCUGAGCACUGAAAUGGAAGAUGCUCUGUGUUGGGCUUAUGGAAUGUUCAUUUAGGGAAGAACCCAUGUCUGCCUGGUUUGGUCUGGUUUUUCAUUCCAUCACCCCUUAAGGCAGCUUUCCAAGGUUUUCUGGACUCUGGAAGAAAAUAAAAAUGAGAAGCGUAUUCUUGGCCGAGGGAUCCACAUUGAAGGCAGACUCCAGGAUUUCAACAUGUGGAUAGACUGGGCUUUCUGUUAAUCAUCAAUUACUAAAAAUAGAAAUAAUCUGGGACUCCUUUGAAGGGAGACCAUUUUUUAUGAGACUUCAUUUGAACCAAUCUGUCAAGGGAAGUUGGGUAUAUAAUGAACAAUAGACAUUCUUAGUGGUGCUAAGUCAUAUAUGCAUGAAGAAAUAAAACAGGACUGUCAACCAUUAUCCUCCAAGUGGACAUAGUCACAUGAGCUACAGGAAUUAUGAGGAAAAGGGGAGGUGGAGAUUUUGAGUCAGGUGAUCAGGAUAGGAUUCAGAGAGAAAGGGUAAUAGGACUCAGGCCUUGAAGGAGGGAUAGAGCUAUAGUGAUUUCUGGGUGGGAAUCACUUGAAUGAAGAAUAGUACUGAUUUUUUUUUAAAUGAUUUGGUACAGAGUAGAAUGUGUGUCUUAAGCAAAGCGUUUUUCAGUACAGGAAUCUGGAAAGAUGAGACAGAACAUAAAAUUUUACAUGUAUGAAUGGGUCUUUAACACCAGGCAGAGAAUUGGGUUUGAUUCUAAAAGGACCAGAGGUACAUUAAGGAUUCUAAGGCAAGUUAGACUUGUUUUAGAGGUCUAUUUUCCUCAUCUGACAAAAAGAAUCAGCAAAACAGCAUUCUCUGUAACUUUUCCAACAAGUAAAAUCAACAUGUAAGACUGCCAUUUUGAUUCUUCUUUGGUUUGUGGGACCAGUGCUGUGGAAGAUAAGAAUGAAUUAGCACAGUGCCUGGCUCUAGGACUCAACACAUAUUGUUAAAUGCAUGAAUGAAGCUGAACUAUAUAGAACCAGAGUACUGUUUCCUAGAACAGAUAAAGAAGACCUUAUUACCUCAGACCUCUCAAGAGGUAUCAAUAGAGAAUUUGAUGGGGGCCCUGGUUGGAAGUUAUGUGAACCUGGGCAUGUAACUUCACCUUUUUGAGUCUGUAUUUCAUCAUCUGAAAAAGCAAAGUGCCCUGAACAGUCCCUACAGAAGCAGUGAAGUAGUCAACAAACAUCUCAUGUCUACUUGGGAUGGAGCACUGGCUCAGGUCCUGGGGAGGAGUGGAGGGGGACACAAAGACAAGUAAGACAAGACCUGUGAUCUCACUAUGUUGCCUCGGCUGCUCUGAAACUCCUGGCCUCAAGUGAUCCCCCCUGCCUUGGCCUCCACAGUGCUGGAACUAUAGGUAUGAGCCAUUGCACCCAGCCAGGAAAUACAAUUUUCGAAAGACUAAACAAGUUUCUAAAAUCAUGGCACAAUUAAGUAGCAAAAUUAGAAUACAGAGUGGGCUUGUUGGAAAGCGUCAACUAUUAAUCACCAUGCCAUACUUUUGAGGAGCAGACCCCACACUUGUAACCAGGCCCUUCAAUUUAUCAUUCCUGCAAGUCAAGACUUCACCUGUGAACCAGCUGCCCUCUGCCAGCCCAACUUCGUGGAUGUGCAAUCUCUACAGUUGCACAGGGUCCCGUGUUUAGUUUAGUACUUUGCUUUUGCUAUCUUUAAAUACUUAAUAAUUUUUAAACAAGAGAUUCCAUAUUUUUAUUUUGCACUGAGCUUCACAAAUUACAAAGUCAGCGCUAUCCACAGUACCCAAGCUAUAAUUAAUACAAAGCUUUAAAAGCUGCAUGGAGUUUAGCUGAAAUUGCUGCCCAGUCCGAAGCUAAUUUUGGAAGAUGCUGUUCGGUCUUAGGUUAUGAAAAACGGUUCUGCCCUUUUACAACUCCAGCAGGAAGAGCUAAGCUCCCAAUAUUCCGUCCAUUAAUGUCCCUGGUGAGAGUCUUCAAAACUCACGAGCAACAAUGCAAGAAUUUCCCAGCCUUCAACGUGUGACCCACUUCUACAUUAUUGACUCCAAUAAACUGACCAAUUAAAUGUUUUUGUGGUCACAGAACUUGUAAUUAUGUGGUUAAAGAUGUUUCAGAUAUAUCACAUUCUUUCACACUGUGGCAGAAACUAUUGGUUAAAUAACUCAGCCAUGUCUAUCUUCCUUGUCCAAUCUGCACAAAAGAGACUGGAAAAAAGCUGGACACUUGCUUCUUUCCCAUCCUCCUUUGCAG